AAAUCAUUGAUAAUGUUGCGCCUGAUCAUGCAUCGUUACUAAACUUCGAGAGGCACAACAAUAAAAAUCAAAAUUUUCCAGAAACAUCCCAAGACAGUACGGCUCAUUCAAUGAAUUUAAUUGUAAGCAAAGAAAAUGAAGAAGAAAUAAGAGAAAAACGAAACAACCAAGAAGUAGAAGACAAAGAAAAUCUGAGUGGAAAAAUAAAUCAAGAAUUAUUACGCAAAAAAUCUAAAGCCACAAACUUAAAUGCUAGUACUUAUGAGCCACGUAUAAUAUUAGAAAGACUCAAUAUAUAAUAAUAAUGGGUAAAAUGAUGACGCAAAAACAUGUACAAUAUAAAAGAAGUGUACAAACAAGGAUACAAAUUAUCCAGAAAAGUCCCACGGAAUGUUAUGGUUCGCGCUUUUGAGGAGCGUUCCCCAACCUUACAUAUAUUUAACAACAAACUUAACUUCAUAUAUUUUCUGGUAUCAUGAAACUAAAAAAAGUAUAAAGUCAAAGUAAAAAAACAGAAAAAGAUACAAAAACAAAGUCAUAAGCAAAAUCCAAAACAUAACAAAAAAUCAAAUCCUAAGUUGGUAAAUCAUAAAUUCUACUGAAGGUCUUAACUUUUAGAUAAAUAUUUAACAAGACUAAAACAUAAACAAAACUAGACUGCGCUAAGCUAAACUAAACUAAACUUUUGUUUUGGUUUUUACCAUUGAUUGGCCUUAACUUUAACUUAAAUUAUACUUUGUAUUUUCAGUCUUCUCUGUUGCUUGGUCCUCUCUCUUACUUUCUUUCCUUCCCUCUCAGGUUCUUCUU